rnacentral:rRNA from 1 species
UACGUAGGGUCCGAGCGUUAUCCGGUAUUAUUGGGCGUAAAGAGUACGUAGGCGGCCUUUUAAGACAAUGGUUAAAUCUCCGGGCUUAACCUGGGAAUGGCAUUUGGGACUGCAAGGCUGGAGUGUGGCAGAGGAGACUGGAAUUCCUGGUGUAGCAGUGAAAUGCGUAGAUAUCAGGAGGAAUACCGAUGGCGAAGGCAGGUCUCUGGGCUGACACUGACGCUCAUGCACGAAAGCGUGGGGAGCAAACAGG